UACGUAGGGUGCGAGCGUUAAUCGGAAUUACUGGGCGUAAAGCGUGCGCAGGCGGCGCGUUAAGACAGGUGUGAAAGCCCCGAGCUUAACUUGGGAAUUGCGCUUGUGACUGGCGUGCUGGAGUGUGGCAGAGGGAGGUGGAAUUCCACGUGUAGCAGUGAAAUGCGUAGAGAUGUGGAGGAACACCGAUGGCGAAGGCAGCCUCCUGGGCCAGCACUGACGCUCAUGCACGAAAGCGUGGGGAGC
rnacentral:rRNA from 1 species